rnacentral:rRNA from 1 species
GUGGGGAAUAUUGGACAAUGGGCGAAAGCCUGAUCCAGCCAUGCCGCGUGAGUGAUGAAGGCCUUAGGGUUGUAAAGCUCUUUCAGUGGGGACGAUAAUGACGGUACCCACAGAAGAAGCCCCGGCUAACUUCGUGCCAGCAGCCGCGGUAAUACGAAGGGGGCUAGCGUUGUUCGGAUUUACUGGGCGUAAAGCGCACGUAGGCGGAUCGUUAAGUCGGGGGUGAAAUCCUGGAGCUCAACUCCAGAACUGCCUUCGAUACUGGCGAUCUUGAGUCCGGAAGAGGUGAGUGGAACUCCUAGUGUAGAGGUGGAAUUCGUAGAUAUUAGGAAGAACACCAGUGGCGAAGGCGGCUCACUGGUCCGGUACUGACGCUGAGGUGCGAAAGCGUGGGGAGCAAACAGGAUUAGAUACCCCUGUAGUCC